AGAGUUUGAUCCUGGCUCAGAACGAACGCUGGCGGCGUGCCUAACACAUGCAAGUCGAACGGAAUGAGGGGCUUGCUCCUCAAUUUAGUGGCGCACGGGUGAGUAACGCGUAGAUAAUCUGCCUGAUGAUCUGGAAUAACAUCUCGAAAGGGGUGCUAAUACCAGAUAAGCCCACGAUGACCUUGGUCGUUGCGGGAAAAGGAGGGGACCUUUUGGCCUUCUGUCAUCAGAUGAGUCUGCGUACCAUUAGCUAGUUGGUAGGGUAAUGGCCUACCAAGGCUACGAUGGUUAGCUGGUCUGGGAGGAUGAUCAGCCACACUGGAACUGAGACACGGUCCAGACUCCUACGGGAGGCAGCAGUGGGGAAUUUUGCGCAAUGGGCGAAAGCCUGACGCAGCAACGCCGCGUGAGUGAUGAAGGCUUUCGGGUCGUAAAGCUCUGUCAAGGGGAAAGAAGUGUAUUGUGGUUAAUACCCAUGGUACUUGACGGUACCCCUAAAGGAAGCACCGGCUAACUCCGUGCCAGCAGCCGCGGUGAUACGGGGGGUGCAAGCGUUGUUCGGAAUUAUUGGGCGUAAAGCGCGUGUAGGCGGUUUGUUAAGUCUGAUGUGAAAGCCCUGGGCUCAACCCAGGAAGUG
rnacentral:rRNA from 1 species